UUGGGAGACUGCAAGGGUUGGUGACAAACACAGAGGUGUGUAGCGGAAUAUAAAGUUGUAGCUGUCUUGAUACCUUAUGUUACGUAGCACCUUCUCUGCUCCUCCUCACCUGAUGUUUGAGAGAAUUUGCUAGACUUAUCUGCUGCCAAUUGCUCUGGCUAAUAGUGUUACUCUCCCAGCUGAGAUCACUCCCAGAGUCCCAAAUACCAAGGCUUUGUAAGGAUAUUAGAAAGCUUUCAAAACCACUGUCCUGGCACUGGAGGGUGGAAGCAUCUGUGCUAAUAACUGCCAAGGGAGUGUGACUGGAGAUAGCUCUUGCGGCAGAUUUCCACAGAACAGAUGUUCUUAGCACUGGACCUCUGACAAAAGCUUUAUACACACACGUACAUGGGCUCAUUCACUCCCCUCUGCACACAACAGAGCUGAAGCACUCUCCUUUGGUUUCCACUGGAAAAGUCAGAGGAGUUGGAAGAGUAACUGAAGUAAUGAAAUAGGACCCCACGCCGCACUGGCAAGUGUGUGUUGUGUGCAAGUAUCUGUGUUUGUAUGGGAACUAGUUGUGGCUUUCCCAGCCCAUCCUGUAUAGUUCCCGAUGUUGUAAUUACUGGAGGACCCCGAUGUCAUUUUUCCAAACACAGGAUACCAACAAAACCAUUCAAUGGAACAAAGAACAACUUACCAUCCUCUCCUGAAAGAAAACCCCAACCUCCUUCUGCCUCACGGGUGAAUCUGAGGCUAAGUGUGUAUGCCACUGAAAAGCCUCUGGUAGAAUGUGAUGGAAGAGACUCUAGCUGGGUGACUGUGGUACGGAGAACGCUGGAAGAGGAAGACAACAAAUUAAUGGGAUCUUCCUUACCCGCCCUUUUGUUUUCCUCUUCAGAACUUCACUUCAGCCACAUGGUGAUUUCAAGGGCAGCCUUAGUGUCAGAGAAUGAGGAAGGCGGAACUUGUGGAUGUCAGGCCAGUUCUAGACUGCAGUGUGCGGGUAAAUGCAACAGCACUGAACAUGCCCACUGCAGAAUUCCAGCAAAAAGUUGUCAACUGUUCUACGGGGUGUAAGGCCCAGCAGGUUUCAAACUUGGGCCCGGAAAUCUGCCAGCAGCAAACAUCUCCAUGUUGCCAGCCAGCAACAGCCAUAACCUGCUCCAACACCCAUAACCUGCUGUGGAUGCAGAGCAUGGGAAGUCUCGCUUCAAGGGACCCAACAGGCAGUAGGCUCAUGACUCCUGAUUGGCUCCCUGCCCUAUUUAAACCCAAGGGAGAUGAUUCCUGGAACAGUGUGGAUCUUUUGUAACUGCCAUGACCAUUCCUGCUCUGGAACUCCUGGCAUUGACCCCAGCUUGAUUUGGACCUUUCCUGACCUGGAUCCUGAAACCUGACUUGGAUGCUGAUCCUUGGUAUUGAUUCCGGCCUGGAACUUGUCUAUGAAUUCCUCCACUGCUCUCAGCCUCGGGUUUGCCCUUGCUCUGACCAUUGGUCAGGAUCCUGACACUGGGUCCAUGUGGCAAGUAGGCUUAGGAGAGAGCAAUGGAUCUGCUGGGGUUCCUGCUUCUCCAGAAUAACACAGCAGAGACCAGAUGAAGAAUUCCGGAGGCGUCUCCCAGAAUUUCCACUAAGGAUCAUUUACUGCACUGUUCCAUUGGCAUUUAUUGAAAUUUGUACAAAAAAAGAUCUUCCUUCAAUGACACUAUUUCAACCCGCGCAAAAGAUUUAUGGGUGCACGAAGACAUCCGUGGCAGGGAUUUUUCUUUGUCUGCAAGAAAGGAAGGAGGGAAAGGAAAGGAAAUGUGACCGAAGAGAAAAGGAUAUCCAGAGAAAAUAAUGGAAAGCAGCUAUCUAUUAAAAAGCAAAGAGGGAUCAGUGAAUGUGAGGACAAAACAACUUCACUUCUCAACACACAAAUAUAGGGGGAUGGAUCACUUGAUGGUUACCUGUUCUGUUCAUUCCCUCUGAAGCAGCUGGCAUUGGCCACUGUCGGAAGACAGGAUCCUGGACUAGAUGGAUCUUUGGUUUGACCCAGUAUGACCGUUCUUAUGUUCUUAAUAUAGGCACACAUAUGUACAUCAUGGGCACGCACACAAAUAUGCAUGCAUACGCAUACACACACAUAUUCAAAUAACCCCCCGCCCCAAUGCACAAAUAGAUCCAUGCACACAAACUCCUCCUUCCCAGUAAAAGAAAGUGUGUACUAACUGAUGUCACGAUUCUUACAUAUUUGCCUAGGUUCAUGUCAUUGAAAGGUGUGGCAGUUUGCUGAAAGACAGAACUAAGAGCUGCCAUAGCAUAACUAAUGGUUUGUCUAGGCUGGUGUCCUAUCACGAGGAUAG